UACAGAGGUCUCAAGCGUUGUUCGGAUUCAUUGGGCGUAAAGGGUGCGUAGGCGGCGCGGUAAGUCGGGUGUGAAAUCUCGGAGCUUAACUCCGAAACUGCAUUCGAUACUGCCGUGCUUGAGGACUGGAGAGGAGACUGGAAUUUACGGUGUAGCGGUGAAAUGCGUAGAUAUCGUAAGGAAGACCAGUGGCGAAGGCGACUGCCUGGACCAGCACUGACACUGAGGCACGAAAGCGUGGGGAGCAAACAGG
rnacentral:rRNA from 1 species